rnacentral:rRNA from 1 species
UACAGAGGGUGCGAGCGUUAAUCGGAUUUACUGGGCGUAAAGCGUGCGUAGGCGGCUUUUUAAGUCGGAUGUGAAAUCCCCGAGCUUAACUUGGGAAUUGCAUUCGAUACUGGGAAGCUAGAGUAUGGGAGAGGAUGGUAGAAUUCCAGGUGUAGCGGUGAAAUGCGUAGAGAUCUGGAGGAAUACCGAUGGCGAAGGCAGCCAUCUGGCCUAAUACUGACGCUGAGGUACGAAAGCAUGGGGAGCAAACAGGAUUAGAUACC